rnacentral:tRNA from 2 species
GAGAGAGGUCUGGGACACAAGGAACUGCUAAUUCUUUCUAUCAUAGUUCAAAUCUAUGACUCACUCA